GAUGAACGCUGGCGGCGUGCCUAAUACAUGCAAGUCGAGCGAACAGACGAGGAGCUUGCUCCUUUGACGUUAGCGGCGGACGGGUGAGUAACACGUGGGUAACCUACCUAUAAGACUGGGAUAACUUCGGGAAACCGGAGCUAAUACCGGAUAAUAUUUCGAACCGCAUGGUUCGAUAGUGAAAGAUGGCUUUGCUAUCACUUAUAGAUGGACCUGCGCCGUAUUAGCUAGUUGGUAGGGUAACGGCUUACCAAGGCAACGAUACGUAGCCGACCUGAGAGGGUGAUCGGCCACACUGGAACUGAGACACGGUCCAGACUCCUACGGGAGGCAGCAGUAGGGAAUCUUCCGCAAUGGGCGAAAGCCUGACGGAGCAACGCCGCGUGAGUGAUGAAGGUCUUCGGAUCGUAAAACUCUGUUAUUAGGGAAGAACAAACGUGUAAGUAACUGUGCACGUCUUGACGGUACCUAAUCAGAAAGCCACGGCUAACUACGUA
rnacentral:rRNA from 1 species